AGUUCAAGAGAACGUGAAACUACCACGAGGUUAAAGCGGAUGUACAUACGUAGCCGACCGGGUGGGCUCAUCUUCUCGAGCCUCCAGCGGUCGUCGCGUUCGGACCGUCGCCUCCCUCGAAUCCCUUUCGGGGGAAACGAAUGGCGUCGGCCGUCGCGACGGCGGACUCGGAGGAGAGAGUGGUGGAUUCCCCUCCUCAGUAGGCAGUCGCGGCCGUUCGAGAGUCGUCUAAGGCCCGGGAGUUGGGAACCGUCCGGCGUUUUACGCGUCGGCGGGGACUCUCCCUCGAUUCUGGCGGACUCUCGGACGGUCGAUGAAAAAUGACGACGUAGCGGAAAGCAAGUCCCUCGUCGUACGCGGCUGUUACGCGAUCGUUCAUCCGUCCCGUCUUGAAACACGGACCAAGGAGUCUAACAUGUACGCGAGUCAACGGGUUGGCUAAACCCCUAGGCGCAACGAAAGUAAAAAAGAAGCUUCUUUUUUUUUUAAAAAUGAAGCUUCGUUGGGUCGAUCCGUGCUCCCCUUAAAAAGGACCGGCGCAGACCCGGGGCUCGCCGCUACCUCCUCGAGAUUCGUCUCGUGGCGGGCGGCGGGCACCUAGAGCGUACAUGCUAGUACCCGAAAGAUGGUGAUCUAUGCCUGGCCAGGAUGAAGCCAGAGGAAACUCUGGUGGAGGUCCGUAGCGAUUCUGACGUGCAAAUCGAUCGUCGGAGCUGGGUAUAGGGGCGAAAGACCAAUCGAACCAUCUAGUAGCU
rnacentral:rRNA from 1 species